CUUAAAAGGAGGGUGGCUGAUUUUGGGGAGUGGGAUAAAGUUGGGUGGGGUGAGUGGCCUGGCCGACUGAGACAGUCACUCCCCUCACCCCCCAUUGUGCAUUUCAGUGUGCUGAUAGGGAGAUGGGUAAGAAAAUCACAUGACAGGUGCCCCAGGCCCAAGCAGAGCAGGGUUCCUCUGUGGGAGGCAGAGGAAAGGUUGAGACUUGCUGUGAGGGCCUCUGUCCACCAGCCUGAGCGGAGCAACAGCAGAGCUUCCCCUGACCCCCCACCUACUCUCAUCCUCAUGGCCGCAUCACCAGGCUCAGAUUCAGAGAGCAAAGGGCUUGGGGGAGGCCCAAGGAGGUACUUGGGUACUUGGUGCCUCCUGUGCUGUGGCCCAAUGUGCCUCGACUCAGAGGGGGAUUAAGGUUCUGCCACCACAUUUCAGGUUCAAUCUGUGCAUGAUCAGGUGGCCCAAUGGCUGGAGAGUUUGACAGGUGGCCUCGGGCCUGAGUGCCCUUUGCUGGUUUGAAGCACAUUGCUGGACCCAGAAACCCCUGCCUUAAAUCUUGGGCGUGCAGAGUUGUAAAUCAGCCUGGGGUGAAAUUUGGCUUCUGGAAAGCUGGGCUUUUGGUCAUGAAUGCAGUGCAUUAAUGUGGUGGUGCUGUGGGGGCAGGUCUCAGCCUCUCCCUGUACCUUUCUCUCUCGAGAUCUCCACCUCCUCCUUCCUCCUGUUCCACCUGAGCCUCUUCCUCCUCUGCAGGGGACUCUGUCAAGGAACCUACCUCAAUCCAGGGAGUGUGAAUGAUGCCUGGGAGGUCCUGGAUCUCAAGCCAGAGAUCUCAAGCUUUUCCUUCCCUCCCACCUGAUCCUCUCCCUCCUCCGCCAGACACCUGCUGCAGGGAGGUCCUAAAACCAGCUCAGCCCCCCUGGGGCUGCCCUGGCCUUGGAUACCCCCCAGCUGGAUUUGUUUCCAGAUCUGCUUCUCAACCCAAGGAGAUGCCCCAACAGACAGGGUCAUGACUUUUUCGAAGUCUCCCAGUGCACACCCCACCCUAGACCACCCACUACCUGAAAUCUGUCAGAGGCCCCACAUUGUCAGUCCUGUGAAGAGCAUUUAAAACAAUUAGCACAUGAGUUCCACUUAGCUCAGUGGCUAAGGACACCAACUAGCAUCCAUGAGGAUGUGGGCUCUAUCCCUGGCCUCGCUGGGUUAAGGAU
rnacentral:lncRNA from 1 species